UACGUAAGGCAGCAGUGGGGAAUAUUGCACAAUGGGCGCAAGCCUGAUGCAGCCAUGCCGCGUGUAUGAAGAAGGCCUUCGGGUUGUAAAGUACUUUCAGUCGUGAGGAAGGUGUUAAGGUUAAUAACCUUAGCAAUUGACGUUAGCGACAGAAGAAGCACCGGCUAACUCCGUGCCAGCAGCCGCGGUAAUACGGAGGGUGCGAGCGUUAAUCGGAAUUACUGGGCGUAAAGGGCACGCAGGCGGUUAAUUAAGUUGGAUGUGAAAUCCCCGGGCUUAACCUGGGAAUGGCAUUCAAGACUGGUUAGCUAGAGUCUUGUAGAGGGGGUAGAAUUCCAUGUGUAGCGGUGAAAUGCGUAGAGAUGUGGAGGAAUACCGGUGGCGAAGGCGGCCCCUGGACAAAGACUGACGCUCAUGUGCGAAAGCGUGGGGAGCAAAC
rnacentral:rRNA from 1 species